ensembl:lncRNA
CGUGACACAGUAUGUCUUUCUUCCAGUGUCCAUAUGUCAGAGUUAACUCCUGCUUUUUGUAUGAUUGUUUUAAGACUAGAAAAUUAAGACUCUGUAUGUGCGUGGCCACUGCAAAUGACCCUCCUACAAAACAAAACAAGGACAAAAAGGAAGGCUCUUAACAUUCAUUUUUAAUAAUAACUUUGUGUAUGCCUGUGCAGUAUGUGUACCCAGGCACAUAGGCACUUUCUUCUUCUUCAACUUCUACGGCUUACUCCUUUUCAGGGUCACGUGGAACCUGGAGCCUAUCCCUGGGAGCAUCAGGCACAAGGCGGGGUACACCCUGGACAGGGUGCAUAGGCACUUUUAGUUCAUCUUAAUAGUGAUAAACAGUAGAUUUACCUGUAUAAGUUUAUGCAGUGUGCUGUUUUGGCAGGAGAUGGUAACAGGAAGCUGAUUCUUAUCACAAUCCAAUGUCCAAAUAUCCUCCUUCUUUACUCUCUUUAAUGGUAGGGCUAUAAGAGAGAAAGAAUACCAUCUUAAUAUCUUAAAACUGCAUUAAAUCUCAAUAACCCAGUGACAAAAGGGUUAAUAAGUAAUUGAUUCAUGCAUCAUAGUACACUCAGCAAGCUGGCCUAUACAGACAUGCAUUGCUGUUUUAGAAGCGCUUGACUUUCCAGGUGCCUGAAACUGACAACUGAUAACAGUAAUGUUGUCCUGUAAUCACCAGUCCCUUUUAACAUUAGUCUUUAACAAUGUUAAUAUAUGAUGCAGAAAAACUAGUCCAUGCUUUCGUUACCUCUAGGUUGAACAAUAGUAAUGCAUUGCUGACUGGGUGUUACGUACCAGUAGGUAUAAAACAAGCUCCAGUUAGGACAAAUUAAUUAUUCAUAUGACAUUAAUGAAAAAAUAAAAGUAAAAUAUGGUUUGAAUAAAUAGGCAAAACAUAAAUAGCCAUAAUAUUAUUGUGCACAUUUAAAUAUUGUGUCUAUUGAAAAUUUCUUUAUAAAAUAAAUUGGUAACACUUUACAAUACUGUUCUACAAGUCCAUGGUAACUAUGCAGGAAUUAAGCAGGAAUAAAUUAGUAGUUCCUCAUUAACACUUAUUUUUCUCCAAUUAACUACUAAUAAGUGCUAAUUAAUUAUGAUGUUAGUAGGAGUUCACUAUUAACUAAGUGUAACCCACAUUGAAUUAUCACCAAUAAAUGAUUCAUAAAAUGCAUAAAUAAGCUAAUAAGUUAAAACAUAUACAUGUAAGAAACAAUUAAGAAUGGUUAAAAACAGUUUGACAGUGAUUUAAUGUAAACAAACAGAAGUAUGGCUGUAAGGAAUUGUGGUGACGCUUCCCCUUUAAGAGACUCGGUGGCCCAUUUUGAAGCAGCACUGAGCAGAGAGCGGAGAAGCAGACAGACUAACAAGCUAAAAAGUUAAAAGCUUUUGUGAAGAGUUGAUUUAGAAGCUCAAAAACAAUACCUGCUUGUUUGGGAAUUUAUGAAGCUUAAAUACAAGAAAACCACAACG